rnacentral:rRNA from 1 species
GGGUGCAAUCAUACCAGCUCUAAUGCACCGAAUUCGAUCAAAACUCCGCAGUUAAACAUGCUUGGGCGAAAGUAGUAGUAAGUUGGGUGACCUUUUGGGAAGUUCUUGUGUUGCACCCA